rnacentral:rRNA from 1 species
UACGGGGGGUGCGAGCGUUGUCCGGAAUCACUGGGCGUAAAGGGCGCGUAGGUGGCUUGGUAAGCGCGUGGUGAAAGCCCGGGGCUCAACUGGGGAGGGUCACGCGAUACUGAUCGACUCGAAGGCAGGAGAGGGUAGUGGAAUUCCCGGUGUAGUGGUGAAAUGCGUAGAUAUCGGGAGGAACACCAGUGGCGAAGGCGACUACCUGCCUGUUCUUGACGCUGAGGCGCGAAAGCUAGGGGAGCAACGGGG